rnacentral:rRNA from 1 species
GUCGUCCUACGGGGGGCAGCAGUGGGGAAUAUUGGGCAAUGGGCGCAACCCUGAUGCAGCGACGCCGCGUGUGGGAAGACGGUCUUCUGGAUUGUAAACCACUGUCCCCAGGGACGAAAAUGACGGUACCUGGGGAGGAAGCUCCGGCUAACUACGUGCCAGCAGCCGCGGUAAUACGUAGGGAGCAAGCGUUGUCCGGAAUUACUGGGUGUAAAGGGAGCGUAGGCGGGGAUGCAAGUUGGGUGUCAAAACUACCGGCUCAACCGAUAGUCGCACUCAAAACUGCAGAUCUUGAGUGAAGUAGA